rnacentral:rRNA from 1 species
GACGAACGCUGGCGGCGUGCCUAAUACAUGCAAGUUGAGCGCUGAAGGUUGGUACUUGUACCAACUGGAUGAGCAGCGAACGGGUGAGUAACGCGUGGGGAAUCUGCCUUUGAGCGGGGGACAACAUUUGGAAACGAAUGCUAAUACCGCAUAAAAACUUUAAACACAAGUUUUAAGUUUGAAAGAUGCAAUUGCAUCACUCAAAGAUGAUCCCGCGUUGUAUUAGCUAGUUGGUGAGGUAAAGGCUCACCAAGGCGAUGAUACAUAGCCGACCUGAGAGGGUGAUCGGCCACAGUGGGACUGAGACACGGCCCAAACUCCUACGGGAGGCAGCAGUAGGGAAUCUUCGGAAAUGGACGAAAGUCUGACCGAGCAACGCCGCGGGAGUGAAGAAGGUUUUCGGAUCGUAAAACUCUGUUGGUAGAGAAGAACGUUGGUGAGAGUGGAAAGCUCAUCAAGUGACGGUAACUACCCAGAAAGGGACGGCUAACUACGUG